CAUAAGCGCAUUUUUCAUUUAGUAAAUAAACUAGACGCAUUUUGUUGAUUUUCUGCUUGUUUUUGUUAUAGGCAAAUAAUUAAUCAGAUUCACUGCUGCUUAUGGGUCUAGGUUAAUAGCAAUGACUGUUGAAUUGUGGACUCAUUCACACAAAUAUCUGGUAUAUAUGUACAUAUGUAGUAUGCAUGUUGCUUGGCCACAAGCUGAUAAAGUGUCAAUAAUUUUACAUAAGCUUUAUUGGCAUUUGAACAAAAACAAUUGAUAUGAGUGUAAUAAACAAAUAACACAUCAUAUUUUUUUACUUGAGUGAUGUAUUGCUAAUGGAAAUAUAAUCGUGGAUCAUAAAGAGGCUUGUGUCAUAGCCCUAA